AUGUGUGCAAGUCAUUGGGUGCACUAAACCUAAAGGCACAAUGAAAGUGAUUCAAAAUCCUACCUUGUUAUUGCAACAUGUGAUGGGCCGAUCCCUAGGCCGACUGCCCGCUCGUGUGUGCGGCUUUCGGCCCCUCCCGGGCUUUUGGGUGAGACCCUUUCCCCAGAGGUCCGGGGCCCAAGGGGCCGAUCGUUUCCGUCACCUUGCGCCGGCAUAGGCCCGCGCCUGCAUUGCGACAGGGGGGCGCAGGCCCGGGACUUUUCCAGAUGUCGCUGCUUCGCUCGCUCGGCGAGGGGCGAAAGCGCGCUCAGCCGGGCCACUCGCGAGGGUGGCGCGGCGGCCGCGAGUAGUCUUCGACCGCGGCAGCAGCAGCCUCGGGAAAGUACCUUGAGCAGACAUGUUAGUACCCGAAAGAUGGUGAACUAUGCCUGGCCAGGAUGAAGCCAGAGGAAACUCUGGUGGAGGUCCGCCGCGAUUCUGACGUGCAAAUCGAUCGUCGGAGCUGGGCAUAGGGGCGAAAGACUAAUCGAACUAUCUAGUAGCUGGUUCCCUCCGAAGUUUCCCUCAGGAUAGCUGGUACUCGGGAAACGGAGUUUCAUCCUGUAAAGCUAAUGAUUAGAGGUCUUGGGGACGAAACGUCCUCAACCUAUUCUCAAACUUUAAAUGGGUGAGAUGCCGAGCUUUCUUGAUCAAACACAAAUGUUUUGAAGCUCUGGCGAACAAUCUGAAGUGCCAAGUGGGCCAAUUUUGGUAAGCAGAA
rnacentral:rRNA from 1 species